rnacentral:rRNA from 1 species
GAUGAACGCUGGCGGCGUGCCUAAUACAUGCAAGUAGAACGCUGAAGCUUGGUGCUUGCACCGAGCGGAUGAGUUGCGAACGGGUGAGUAACGCGUAGGUAACCUGCCUCUUAGCGGGGGAUAACUAUUGGAAACGAUAGCUAAUACCGCAUAAAAGUCGACAUCGCAUGAUGUUGACUUGAAAGGUGCAAUUGCAUCACUAAGAGAUGGACCUGCGUUGUAUUAGCUAGUUGGUGAGGUAACGGCUCACCAAGGCGACGAUACAUAGCCGACCUGAGAGGGUGAUCGGCCACACUGGGACUGAGACACGGCCCAGACUCCUACGGGAGGCAGCAGUAGGGAAUCUUCGGCAAUGGACGGAAGUCUGACCGAGCAACGCCGCGUGAGUGAAGAAGGUCUUCGGAUCGUAAAGCUCUGUUGUAAGAGAAGAACGAGUGUGAGAGUGGAAAGUUCACACUGAUGACGGUAUCUUACCAGAAA